CGAACGCUGGCGGCGUGCCUAAUACAUGCAAGUCGAGCGAAGUUUUUCUGGUGCUUGCACCGGAAAAACUUAGCGGCGAACGGGUGAGUAACACGUAAAGAACCUGCCUUAUAGACUGGGACAACUAUUGGAAACGAUAGCUAAUACCGGAUAACAGCAUUAACUGCAUGGUUGAUGUUUGAAAGUUGGUUUUGCUAACACUAUGAGAUGGCUUUGCGGUGCAUUAGCUAGUUGGUGGGGUAAAGGCCUACCAAGGCGACGAUGCAUAGCCGACCUGAGAGGGUGAUCGGCCACACUGGGACUGAGACACGGCCCAGACUCCUACGGGAGGCAGCAGUAGGGAAUCUUCCGCAAUGGGCGAAAGCCUGACGGAGCAACGCCGCGUGAGUGAAGAAGGAUUUCGGUUCGUAAAGCUCUGUUGUUAGGGAAGAAUGAUUGUGUAGUAACUAUACACAGUAGAGACGGUACCUAACCAGAAAGCCACGGCUAACUACGUG
rnacentral:rRNA from 1 species